rnacentral:pre_miRNA from 1 species
CUUGGGGGGGAGGUCCCUCAGUCCAGAUUGCAAGAGGUGCAGGCCAGGCCAAGGGACCCCACUGGUGCAUG